CAAAAGCUUGGUCCUGACUUUGCUAUCAACUCUAGCUAAACUUACACAUGCAAGUCUCCGCCUCCCCGUGAGAAUGCCCUCAUCUUCCCGCACGGAAGGGAGGAGCCGGUAUCAGGCACAAACAUGCAGCCCACGACGCCUUGCUUAGCCACACCCCCAAGGGAAUUCAGCAGUGAUAGACAUUAAGCCAUAAGUGAAAACUUGACUUAGUUAAGGCUAAGAGGGCCGGUAAAACUCGUGCCAGCCACCGCGGUUAUACGAGUAGGCCCAAGUUGAUAUAAAACGGCGUAAAGCGUGGUUAGGGGGCUCCUAUAAACUAAAGCCGAACACCCCCAGAGCUGUUAUACGCAUCCGGGGGCAUGAAGAACCACCACGAAAGUGACUUUACCCCGCCCGAACCCACGAGAGCUAAGACACAAACUGGGAUUAGAUACCCCACUAUGCUUAGCCCUAAACAAAGAUAGUAUUACAACCCACUAUCCGCCAGGGGACUACGAGCACCAGCUUAAAACCCAAAGGACUUGGCGGUGCUUUAGACCCACCUAGAGGAGCCUGUUCUAGAACCGAUAACCCCCGUUCAACCUCACCCCUUCUUGUUUUUCCCGCCUAUAUACCGCCGUCGUCAGCUUACCCCGUGAGGGUCAAACAGUAGGCAAGACUGGUACAACCCAAAACGUCAGGUCGAGGUGUAGCGUACGGAGGGGGAAGAAAUGGGCUACAUUUUCUUCUCAAGAAAAUUACGGAGGGGGGAAUGAAACAUCCCCCUGAAGGAGGAUUUAGCAGUAAGCAGGAAAUAGAGCGUUCUGCUGAAAUUGGCCCUGAAGCGCGCACACACCGCCCGUCACUCUCCCCAAGACCUAUAAACCGUCUUAACUAAAGCACUAACCACACAAAGGGGAGGCAAGUCGUAACAUGGUAAGUGUACCGGAAGGUGCACUUGGAAAAAA
rnacentral:ncRNA from 1 species